rnacentral:rRNA from 1 species
UACGGGGGGUGCGAGCGUUGUCCGGAAUCACUGGGCGUAAAGGGCGCGUAGGUGGUCUGAUACGGGUGUGGUGAAAGCCCGGGGCUCAACCCCGGGUCGGCCGUGCCGACUGUUAGACUAGAGUGCUGUAGGGGCAGGCGGAAUUCCGGGUGUAGCGGUGGAAUGCGUAGAGAUCCGGAGGAAGACCGGUGGCGAAGGCGGCCUGCUGGGCAGAUACUGACACUGAGGCGCGACAGCGUGGGGAGCAAACAGG